rnacentral:rRNA from 1 species
AUGCACGCUGGCGGCGUGCCUAAUACAUGCAAGUCGAGCGAACAGAUAAGGAGCUUGCUCCUUUGACGUUAGCGGCGGACGGGUGAGUAACACGUGGGUAACCUACCUAUAAGACUGGGAUAACUUCGGGAAACCGGAGCUAAUACCGGAUAACAUUUGGAACCGCAUGGUUCUAAAGUGAAAGAUGGUUUUGCUAUCACUUAUAGAUGGACCCGCGCCGUAUUAGCUAGUUGGUAAGGUAACGGCUUACCAAGGCGACGAUACGUAGCCGACCUGAGAGGGUGAUCGGCCACACUGGAACUGAGACACGGUCCAGACUCCUACGGGAGGCAGCAGUAGGGAAUCUUCCGCAAUGGGCGAAAGCCUGACGGAGCAACGCCGCGUGAGUGAUGAAGGGUUUCGGCUCGUAAAACUCUGUUAUUAGGGAAGAACAAACGUGUAAGUAACUGUGCACGUCUUGACGGUACCUAAUCAGAAAGCCACGGCUAACUACGUG